GAUCAUGGCUCAGGAUGAACGCUAGCUACAGGCUUAACACAUGCAAGUCGAGGGGCAGCAUGAAAGUAGCUUGCUACUUUGAUGGCGACCGGCGCACGGGUGCGUAACGCGUAUCCAAUCUACCCAUGGCUCAGGGAUAGCCUUUCGAAAGAAAGAUUAAUACCUGAUGGUUUCGCUUUUUCCGCAUGGUUUGGCGAAUAAAGAUUUAUCGGCGAUGGAUGAGGAUGCGACUGAUUAGGUUGUUGGCGGGGUAACGGCCCACCAAGCCGACGAUCAGUAGGGGUUCUGAGAGGAAGGUCCCCCACAUUGGAACUGAGACACGGUCCAAACUCCUACGGGAGGCAGCAGUGAGGAAUAUUGGUCAAUGGACGAGAGUCUGAACCAGCCAAGUAGCGUAGAAGGAUGACGGCCUAUGGGUUGUAAACUUCUUUGUUUGGGAAUAAAGUGCUCUACGUGUAGAGUUUUGUAUGUACCUUACGAAUAAGCAUCGGCUAAUUCCGUGCCAGCCGCUGC
rnacentral:rRNA from 1 species